CUCUGCGGUUUCUGAGACCUGUUUGGGAAGGAAACGGUUGUUGUCGUUGCUUCUGCUGGCUGCUUUUCACAGAUUCCGAGGGUUUCUCCGUGCUAGCGGGGACUCGCUCCGCGGCGGGCACUGUUUCCGGGCCUGGCAGCCCUUCUCCUCAGCGCCUUCCCGCUGACGUUAGUUGUCUGCACUGACCGCGCCGGGCAGCGUUCCGGGUGUGCGGAGCCGUCCGUCCCCGCGGAGAUUCGGUUCUGGCGGGAUUUCCCCAGGCGGGCAUUUCAGAAGCAUCACCAGUGACUGGCAUUACACGUCCGCCGAGGCAUCCACCUGUGAGUUCACCGUCAACCAGUCACCGAGUGAUGUGUUGGCACUGUUUGGAGGCGCUGUGCUGGGUAUUGGGGAUUCAGGGGUUGGCAAAAUAGACCUGUCCCUGCCCUAACGGUCCUUGACAGCAGGGGUCAGAUGUUAAAGAAGUAAACAGGCAGAUGUGUGAAUUACAAGAAAUGCAAGUGCAUGGAAGGGAAGAAACAGAGUGCUUUGAGAGACAGAAGCAGAGUAAAUGGAAUUUAGAAAGGGUGUAAUUUAGCAGUGUUCCACGAAGAAAGAGCAAGUAUAAAGGCUUUUGAAGUGAGAAAGACUUGUCCCUUGUGAAGGGACUUAAAGCAGGCUAGUUUGGCUGCUGUAAUUCUGACCAGAUCCCUCUACUUCCUGAAUAUCAAAUAUGGCUUUUUUUUUUUUUUGCUGUGUGUAUUGCCACUGAUUCAGUUUAGCCUUUGUCAUUUUUCUCCUGGAUCAGUGCAAAAACCUGUUAACUAAUGUCCUAUUCUCUUCCUCCUUCAUUGCACCCUCCACUCUUUCUAAAAUACAAAUCUUACUAUAUUUUCCUUUAACCUCACUGACUUGACUCCACUCUUUCUAAAAUACAAAUCUUACUAUAUUUUCCUUUAACCUCACUGACUUGAGAACAAAAUUCAAACCCUUAGCAUGGCAUAGAAAGCCCUACCUUUUUCUGGCCCCUGCUCAUCUUAUGUUUUGUUGCUUCUCCCUACCACCCCUGAAACUCCAUCUUGCCUUUGCACAUGCCUUUGCUUGAAACAGUCCUCAGUCUCAGCUUCUCCCUGGCUAACUUUUAAUUAUCCUUCAAGGGCCAACCCAGACAUCACUUUCUUCAGUAUGUCUUCCUUGACAUCCCUGAUUUGGAUUAAGUGCCCUGUAUGACCCCGUGUAUUCUACUGUCACCAGUCCUUGUCAUGCUGAAUUGUGUUGGUCUCCCUUGGUGCACGGAACUCUUUUUUUUAGGUUGUCAUUCUUUGCUUGGUACAGUACCUAGUACCGUGAAAAUGUCACUUGGCUAAUGAAAAGAAAGAAUACUAACUCAUUUUUAAGCCACUUAGAUAGGCAUUGUGGUCUGUGGAAAGACUUGAGUUUGAAUCCAGACUCCUUUACUUACUGGUUGUGUGGUCUGGGUGAGGGAUUUAAUAUUAUCUAUUUUGUCAUUUGUAAAACUGAAAGUAGCAAUACCUAUUUUACAGGUUGUGACCAAGCACUAAUUCAGUAAUGUAUAAGAAAGUAUUUAGCACUGUACCUAGCAUGUAAUAAAUAUCCAAUAAAUGUUACCUUCUUUCC